rnacentral:rRNA from 1 species
AGUGAACGCUGGCGGUAGGCCUAACACAUGCAAGUCGAACGGCAGCACAGAGGAGCUUGCUCCUUGGGUGGCGAGUGGCGGACGGGUGAGGAAUACAUCGGAAUCUACUCUGUCGUGGGGGAUAACGCAGGGAAACUUACGCUAAUACCGCAUACGACCUACGGGUGAAAGCAGGGGAUCUUCGGACCUUGCGCGAUUGAAUGAGCCGAUGUCGGAUUGGCUAGUUGGCGGGGUAAAGGCCCACCAAGGCGACGAUCCGUAGCUGGUCUGAGAGGAUGAUCAGCCACACUGGAACUGAGACACGGUCCAGACUCCUACGGGAGGCAGCAGUGGGGAAUAUUGGACAAUGGGCGCAAGCCUGAUCCAGCCAUACCGCGUGGGUGAAGAAGGCCUUCGGGUUGUAAAGCCCUUUUGUUGGGAAAGAAAUCCAGCCGGCUAAUACCUGGUUGGGAUGACGGUACCCAAAGAAUAAGCACCGGCUAACUUCGUG